AACGAACGCUGGCGGCGUGCCUAACACAUGCAAGUCGAGCGCGAAUGGAGCAAUCCUAGUAGAGCGGCGCACGGGUGCGUAACACGUGGGUAAUCUGCCUCAAAGCCCGGGAUAACCUGCCGAAAGGCAAGCUAAUACCGGAUAAGCCUACGGACUCUUCGGGGUCUGGAAGGAAAAGGUGGCCUCUGUAUACAAGCUAUCACUUUGAGAUGAGCCCGCGGCCCAUCAGCUCGUUGGCGGGGUAACGGCCCACCAAGGCAACGACGGGUAGCCUGGUCUGAGAGGACGAUCAGCCACACUGGAACUGAGACACGGUCCAGACUCCUACGGGAGGCAGCAGUGGGAAUUUUGCGCAAUGGGCGAAAGCCUGACGCAGCAACGCCGCGUGUGUGAUGAAGGUCUUCGGAUUGU
rnacentral:rRNA from 1 species